UACGUAGGGGGCGAGCGUUGUCCGAAUUUACUGGGCGUAAAGGGCGCGUAGGCGGCUCGUGAAGUCGGGUGUGAAAGCCCGGGGCUCAACCCCGGAACGGCAUCCGAUACUGGCGGGCUUGAGACCGGGAGAGGAGGGUGGAAUACCCAGUGUAGAGGUGGAAUUCGUAGAUAUUGGGUGGAACACCGGUGGCGAAAGCGGCUCUCUGGCCCGGAUCUGACGCUGAGGCGCGAAAGCGUGGGGAGCAAACAGG
rnacentral:rRNA from 1 species